GGUCUGGCCACAGAAGAGCAGGAGAGAAAGUGAGUCUUUCGGUCCACGGCUCGAGGCUAGCUACACGGUGUCGAGGAAGCAUCCCGCAGUCACACCUCACAGCCUACAAGCUGUAGGUCUUCUCAUUGGAUUCAGGAAUGGCGUGCCCUUCAUCAGUCCACCUGAAUAGCCGAAUUACCUUGUUAUUCUUUGCUGGAACAUUCUACAAUGAUCCGAAUCCCCGGACCAAAGGUGUGGAAAUCAACCGCAACUUUUCGUACCCAAACGACACAAAAUAUGAAGAUAAAUUACCCAAGAAGGACUGCAGAAUCGGCCACUGAUCCCACAGGUGAUCUCCGUGCACACUUUACAGCGUUCAAAAGAAACGGGGUGAACGCAGAAGCGAUGAGUGCUGUACCCUUCCAGAAGACCCCAGGGACAAUCUCUGUGCAUGAGCCAGUCUGAACAUCGCUCUCUUCGGCAUCGCCCAAAGCUUGAAGAUAUGGAGAGCCUCAUCAAAACAGUGGAACCCGCAGGAGGACCGACAAGGAGGUGAACGCCGAUCCUCUGUAGGGACACACUGCGCAGUAACUUCACUCGUACGAACCAGAAAUCGGCCUCAGAACAACUUCCUGCCAGCAUCCCCUCUUUGCCAUUAAAGGAAACAUUCGCCUAUCAAAGGCAACAAGUCCUUCUGGUCUUUAAGAUAUAGCCACAGUAAUUCAUAAACAAGCUCACCCACAUCAACAUAUGCCUAUUAAUCAAAUAUUUAUGGCCCAUCUAUAAAAAUGAGCAGCCUUGUCUUAAUUAUAGUGAACGCAAGCGUAACUUCAAGGGGAAAUGGAAAAUAAGAGAUUAGAGCAUGACACUAAUUACGAGGCCCUGACUUUAAAUGAACAAUAAAUAAUUUCGAAAAAUGCUAUGCGGCAAAAAUAUUCGCUGUGAUAAGUCUGGCUGGAACG